rnacentral:lncRNA from 1 species
GAUCUUAUGUAGCACUCCCCCACCCCAAUAUAUAAUAUCUUAAAGAGACAGAGACUAUCUUCCAGAAAAAAAUACACAUGAGAUUUUGCUGAGCUGAAAAGGCUGUCGCUGGGUAUAGGAAGAUGAGAUGUGAAAACUAUGAUCAUUCUUAAAGCAGAUUCCUGCUGUCAGCUCUUUCUAAUGAGCUCCCCCUUCCUCUGUGCUUUAUGGACAAGAGUUUCUCAGGUUCUGUCAACCAGUAAGUAGGUUGACGGCACGGAGCCCCACUAAUAAAGGAGAGGAGUGGCCUUGUCCAGUGUUAUGGAGGAAGUGUCCAGGCAGUUCCUAUUGUUAUUCAGUGAAUUGCUUUUCAGGGGCCUUGGACCUCAGAAAAUUACUUACAUUGUUUUGAAAUCUCAACUUGUCUCAGCGUGGUCAGCUCCUCCACCAUAUGGCACAGUCAGCAGAUCUGUUGACUUAACUCUAGUGGGCACUCAACCGCUAAAUCUAAAUUGUUGAAGACUUUUUGCACUUGCCUCUCAAUAAAGGUUUAGAAUAACUCCUCCCAUGUGACUCCGUCAUACAACUCUAUUGAUGUUAAAUUAGAGAGACAUUCAAGAUACUGCCCACAAAUUAAUAUAUAAAAUGUGCUGGGAGCCAUUAGCCAAGUAGGUAUGACAAUUUCCUUGCCAGCGUACCCCAUGUUGCAGUGACAUUGAAUGUACGUGACCUUGCUCAAGGACCAAGGCAGAUUAGGGUGUUCCCUGUUUUAAGAUAAUCGUGUUUAGGGCGUUCCCAGUUUAGGUUCCAGGUUUAAGGUUUAAGAUUAUUCCUGCUGGGAAUAGGGCGUAUCCUGCUGCCUGAGUUCCCCUUGAGUUCUCACGGGAUUCAGACAGUAUAUUUUGGGAGAUAGAAGCCCAGUGGGUGUGGAUUUGGGCAGAGAACGUGGAUUUCCCCAGAACGUGAUUGUAGACGGCUGGUGUGAGUUCGGGAAUAAAGAGUUGCUGUUUGAAUCUACAAGCUGUGUGGUGGCUCG